GCUUCGGGGCGAGGUGCAAUUCCUCACCGACGGUUAAAGUCCGUGAACCACUUUGUGGCCGAUUGGGUGAAAUUCCCAAACCGACAGUAUAGUCUGGAUGGAAGAAGU
rnacentral:ncRNA from 1 species